rnacentral:rRNA from 1 species
CCUACGGGUGGCAGCAGUGAGGGAUAUUGCACAAUGGGGGAAACCCUGAUGCAGCGACGCCGCGUGGGCGAAGAAGUAUUUCGGUAUGUAAAGCCCUAUCAGCAGGGACGAAGAAAUGACGGUACCCGAGUAAGAAGCACAGGCCAAAUACGUGCCAGCAGCCGGGGUAAUACGUAGGGUGCAAGCGUUAUCCGGAUUUACUGGGUGUAAAGGGAGCGCAGGCGGGACGGCAAGCCAGAUGUGAAAGCCCGCGGCCCAACCGCGGGACUGCAUUGGGAACUACCGGGCUGGAGUGCCGGAGAGGUAGACGGAAUUCCUAGUGUAGCGGUGAAAUGCGUAGAUAUUAGGAGGAACACCAGUGGCGAAGGCGGCCUACUGGACGGUGACUGACGCUGAGGCGCGAAAGCGUGGGGAGCAAACAGGAUUAGAUACCCGAGUAGUC